GACGUAGGGCGCGAGCGUUGUCCGGAUUUAUUGGGCGUAAAGAGCUCGUAGGCGGCUUGUCGCGUCGUCCGUGAAAACCUGCAGCUCAACUGCAGGCUUGCGGUCGAUACGGGCAGACUAGAGUGCGGUAGGGGAGACUGGAAUUCCUGGUGUAGCGGUGAAAUGCGCAGAUAUCAGGAGGAACACCGGUGGCGAAGGCGGGUCUCUGGGCCGUAACUGACGCUGAGGAGCGAAAGCGUGGGGAGCGAACAGG
rnacentral:rRNA from 1 species